UUUUAUUUUCACAUCAAAUAACAUUGUGGUCUAUAAAUGCUCUAAACUCAUAUCUUAUUUCUCAUAAGCAACCAAACUAUUAAGAAAUGUUGCUUGAAGCAGUAGCUAUCUUCGUCAUCACACUCUCAUUCAUUGUUUUUGUGUUCCAAAGAAAACACCAUGGGAGAAGUGCACCAGGUCCCAAACCCUUGCCAAUCAUUGGUAACCUUCAUAUGCUAGGAAAACUCCCACAUCGAACCCUUCAAGCUCUUGCCACAAAAUAUGGUCCCAUAAUGUCCUUAAAGCUAGGGCAGCUCCCAACCAUAGUUGUGUCUUCCCCACAACUGCAGAACUGUUCCUGAAAACCCAUGACAUUGUUUUUGCCAGCAGACCCAAAAUCCAAGCCACAGAACUUCUUUUUUAUGACAGCAAGGGUUUAUCUUUUUCUGAGUAUGGUGCAUACUGGCGCAACGCGAGGAAAGUGUGCACUCUGCAGCUUCUGAGUGCCUCAAAGGUUGAGAUGUUUGCUCCUCUGAGGAGAAAAGAACUGGGAGUGUUGGUGAAGUCGCUGAAAAAUUCUGCAGCAUCAGCUGAGGUUGUCGAUCUGAGUCAGUUGCUGGGAGAGCUUUUGGAGAACAUCGUGUUCAAAUUGGUGUUGGGGAGUGCCAAAGAUGAUAGAUUUGACUUAAAAUUGCUGGUUCACGAAGUUUUGAACUUGGUUGGAGCUUUCAAUCUUGCAGAUUACAUGCCCUGGUUAGGAGUGUUUGAUCCUCAGGUAUCAAAUUCAAGCAGCUAUAACUUGUUAGCAUAUGCAUCCAUCGGAUCAAUUUUCAUAAGAUGAUUAACUGAUGUAAUAAUAUAUAUAUAUAUAUAAAAUCAAAUGAUAAAUAAACUUAUUAAAUAAUAAAUUUUAAGUCUAACUUAAUUUUAUUUAAUUAAUUUAUUUUGUAAAAUAAGAUUUAAACGAAAUUGAUUUUCAACCAUUUACAAAAAUAUCAGUUUUCGUAUAAUAAGUCAUCAAUUAUAUAUUAAAAAAAUAUUUUAAUAAAUCAAUAAAGAAAAUGACAUAUAUAUUGUGUAAAAAUAUUAUAAAAUAUCUGUAUGACCUGUCCUUAUAUUAUAGUGUCACGACAAAUCUCAUGAGGAACUUUGUUUUUGUUUUCUGGUGGAUAGAGACUAUAUAUGAUAUGGAGGACCUGUCCUACCAAUCUUUAACCAAUCACUUACAACCACUAGAAAUUCAUAUGCCUAUUUUCUACAAAAAGUUCAACCUUACGUUUCUUUUUAUCUAAUUUGUCUCUGUCCCACCCACCAACUAUAAAACAUUUAUACUUUUAUUAAACAAAAUAUAUUUAUUUUUUAAAAGUAAAUUCAUAUUAAACAUCAUUCUAAAAAAAUAUUAAAACAAACUAAAACAUAAAGAAAGAAAGAAAAAUAUGAUACACAAAAUCCAUAGUACGAUUACAUUACAUAGAAAAAAAAUAAUAAAUAUAAAGUGAAUGUAAAAAUUCAGUUUUAAGAUAAUAUAAUCACUAAAGCUAUUAAACUUUGCUAUAAAUCAUGAUUAAUUCACAUCUAUCCUUUUCUUUUUCUAUACUAAACUUUACAAUUACAUAAAUUAUUAUUUUAGUAUACUAUAAUAAAAAUAAAUGAACUAAUGUGUUUUAGAAACAAUGAUAUUAAGGUUUAUUUAUCCCUUAUACAUGCAACAAUUGUGCAGGGAAUAACAAAAAGAUUAAAAAAAGUAGCAAAGUCAUUUGAUGAGCUAUUGGAACAAAUAAUUCAAGAACAUGAAAAUAAUCUAUAUGACGAAGAUCAAAAUCGCAACAUGGACUUUGUGGAUAUUUUGUUGUCACUCACGCACCAAUCCAAUGAUGUUCAGAAUCACCAAGACGUCAUUGAUAGAACAAACGUAAAAGGUAUUAUAAUAGACAUCAUAAGUGCAACAUUUGACACCUCUUCCACAACAGUAGAAUGGGCCAUGUCACAACUCUUGAGGCAUCCAACUGUCAUGAAGAGACUUCAACAGGAGCUAGAACAUGUGGUCGGAAUGAAUAGGCAUGUGGAGGAAAAUGACUUGGAACAAUUGUCUUAUUUGAACAUGGUGGUGAAGGAAACACUAAGGUUACACUCGAUUGUACCUUUGCUAUUACCUCGUGAGUGUAGAGAAGAUAUAACUAUUGAUGGUUAUUUGAUAAAGAAAAAAACAAGGGUUAUAGUAAAUGCUUGGGCUAUAGGGCGAGAUCCUAAAGUUUGGGAUAUGGCCGAAAUUUUUGACCCUGCAAGGUUUGAAAAUAACAACAUAGAUGUUCGUGGAAAGGAUUUUCGGAUUUUACCAUUUGGGUCAGGUCGAAGAAUGUGCCCCGGAAUUCAUUUGGGUUUAACGACGAUUAGUCUUAUUUUGGCUGAAUUGGUGCAUUGUUUUGAUUGGAAGCUUCCACUGGACAUGUGCUGUGAUGAGUUAGACAUGGAAGAGAUAUUUGGACUCACCACACCAAGAAAGAAGCAUUUGCUCACUAGACCAGUUUAUCGACUCGCCAUUUAAGUUAAGAUAGGGUUGAUUUUAGUUCCAAUUUGAGACAUGUGACACAUUUAAAUUUUAUGAUAAAUUAAUUUGAACAAUGAUUUUGAUUUUGUAUUUAUGUGAUCGAGUGCUUCAUCCAUUUAAUGGUUUAAGUGUAACUAUAUUUGUUUGUCGUAUGUGAGAAUAUAGAUUUUCUGUUUGUGGUUUUGGAAUUGUGAUAUUUUGCAUUGAUGACAUUGCUUUCUAAGUGAUGAUUAAGGAGUCUUUUAAGAAUUCAAAUGAGUUAAAAGUUUUCAUUACUUAAAAAAAAUAAUAUGAUGUACAAUAUACAAAUAGAAAAAUCUAUAUUUAUUAGGUUUGUUGAAUUUAAAAAUUUGUUAAGAAAAACUAUUUUGAGUUUAAGAUUUUCAAAAUAACUGUCUUUAUUUUAUUUUAACUUACCUGCAAGAAAAAGGAGAGGAAUAUAAACAUGUUUAUAUGUAAAAGCCAUGAUAAAAUGUAACACAAAUAUUUUGAGAACACAGCGAAGAGAUAAUAAUGUAAUGACAUGUUUAUUGUAAUUAAAGUCACCAUUUUCAUAGUUUUUUUUUACCAGUUCUAUUCCAUAAUUGAUCAUUUAUUUUUUUUAUUUAUGUUUUUUGGAAUUUAAGUUUCUAUAAAAUAGGCUAAAUGCUAUUAAAUGAUAUACCAAUAUCUUACAUCACAAAAUUGUCUAACCUAGACAUAAAAAACGUCAAAUGUUAUAGAGCUCCUAAUUGAAUAUCUAAUCGCCAUAUGAUCUGAUAAAAAAGAUAAAGCGUAUAAACAUAAGUUUCGCUAAAUAUAACUAAACAUGUUUUUACCAAAUGAGUUGAGAUAUGCCAAUAUGUUUUAAACACGUAAACGAUUACCUACAUUUAAAAUAUUUAUUGUUGUACGAAAAAACACUUCUUUGUUUGUAAGUUUUGCUCUCUUUAUUUGUGCAGAUUUGUACAAAAUCUUUGCUCAAAUUCUUGCAAAAGAUGGAUAAAGACGUUAAGAGAUAGAAAGACAUUCUUUAAACUUUCUUUACAGCUUUUAGUUAUGAAGAACCAAAGAAACUACUUCUGGAGAAAUCUUUGAUAAAGCACACUCACUCUACAAUGACUUGGGUCUGACUGUACCUACCUUAAAAGGCUAUGAAAUUUACAUGGAGUCAACUCUAACGAUUAUCUCUUAAAGAAGAUUAUAUAAAGAUUAUUCACUGAAGAGAAGAAGAAGAAAACAAUUCUUUGAAUCUUUACGUUAUUGUUAUUCCUCUAAGUUCAUAUUGUUUAAAGUAUUUCAUUCAAAGAGAAGGAAUCUUUUACAAAUUUUCAUAAGUUCAUUGUAUUAUUUUUAUAUCAUUUCUAAGAGAGUUAUCUUUUGUCUUGUAAGAACUCAAAACACUCAAAAGUGAAUUCAAACACUUGUAUUAUUUAACUCAAUGGAGUUAAAGGUUCUAGACAAUUAAACUCGUCUAGUUAGAUUAACUAUAAUGUUUUGAUUAGAAGUGAUUGAUAAUAUUCGUUGUAUACCAGAAAUGGUUGAUAUUACUCGUCUACUAAUUGUAAUAUUUGUAAGAGAUUAGAAAAAUUCUUUAAAAGGUCUUACAGAAGAACUGAACUGAACGUAACUUUGGUUAGAGCGUUUUAUUAUUGUUUUCCUUUGUUAAAAUGUUUUUCUAUAAGCUUUAUUAAAAAUACAAAUUUCUAAUAAUUAUUGCAUACGGUCUAACUUCUGAAAUAGUUCUUAAGUGUUGAAUUGCAAAAAUAAUUUUAAAAAAAUAUUCAACUCCUUCUAUUGUUUUUCUGUAUUGCAAUUUGUAGUGGGGUCUUAUCUAAAAUUUAUUUUAGUUUUUUAAAUUUUUUUAAAAUUUAAUAUAAAAUGCAAUUGAAUGUUUUUAAUUGUUUUAAAAAAUUAAACUUUUUGAACAAAGAUGGUUGCAAAUUAAAAUAAGCAAUUGUUUAUAAUUGAAAAGUAAAAAAAUAAUAAGCAAAGUGAAGGUAAUGAAGUUGGGGAAAGAGAGGUGAAAAGGAGUAGAGGAGUGGUACUAACAGCAGGAAAAUGACAAUGUGGUAACGACAACAAAAAAAAGUUGAGGAUGAUAGCAAAACAACAUUAGCAAAAACAAAAAAAACUAAAAUAGUGGAGAAAGAUAUUUAGUAAAAAUCCUAAACAUUUCAUUAAAAAUAACCUAGACAACAUUUUAUGCUUCAAUUAUAAGAAAAAUCGAAGCCAAAUCUUCUGACUUAAAUAAUAAAAAUUAUAAAAAAACAUAAAUUUUAAAAAAUUCUACACAUUUUUCAACUUUGAUUCUUUAAAAAUCAAAUCAAAAAAAUAUAGAACAUUGGUUAACUUACUACAAAAAAAAAAAAACGUCAUUUAGGGUUUUUUUUACGAUUUGUGAGGUUUUCGCCCUCCGCUAAAUAAUUUAUGAGGUUUUUCAAACUUUCGCAGUUUGAGUCAUCACAAUCUAUCUGUAAGAGUUUUCUGCGACCCCGAUAUUAUAUUUAAUUUGCGGAAAUUUUUCUACGCAAGAUAAAAACUGGUUAUUAUUUUGUGGAAGUUUUUAACCUCCUUCAUUAGUGAAGCAAAAUCUCUUUUCUAAGAUAAAGUAAUAAUGGAGAUUGUGAAAAUUUUGUGUAUCUUUCAGCUUUAGUUGUUGAAAAACUAAAGUAGAAAUGAUGUAUGACUUUUGGUUAUUAUAGAAACCAAUUUCUCACCUUGAGGUAAAAUAAUUAAAAUAAUAAAUAAAACUUUGAAAAAUUAUGAAAUGUUUUACACGGACUUGAUUAAUGAAAAAGCGAAACAGAAAUACAUGUAUGUCUUCCGUUACUUUUCAAUUGAUAUGGAAUUCUGUUACAUUUAUUUAUUUAUUGUGCUUUGCUUUAAAAGGCAAAAAUUAAAAGUUUUUUAAAGUAGGCUCGAAGUUCACUUGAGAAAAUAAACACUAAUUUUAUUUUGAAAAAGAUUCUUUUAAUAAUAAUUUUUGAUAAUUUAUUAACAAACAUAAGUAAUAGGUAAUAGUUUGUGGUUAAUUUGUUUUAAAUAUUUUUUUAAAUAUAAAUUUAAAUAAACUAAUAAAAUAAUUACAUAUAUUCUAUUGUGAAAAUAUUAUUAAAAAAAUUAUCAAAAUAUCGUAAUGGUUUUAUUUUAUCUUCCUCCACCAAACUCACUGCUCCAUUACCUCUAACAAUAAUAUGAAUAUAUAUAUUUAAAAAUUUAUAAAUAUAUAUCCUCCAUGGAAGGUUUCUUCUCAGAUUUUGUUAUAUCACAUUUAAUUUGAUGUGACUUUCCAAUUCGGUGCGGCCAAUCACAAUGCCAUCUAUCCUAGGUUCUAGUCCUUACCUAAUAAAUAAAUAAUAUACAAUUUCAAAUUAUAUAAAUGUAACUUAUAUUAAAUAUUCUAUAUAAGGAUUGAUCAUCAUAGAGUUUUCUGUUUUUUUAUUAGAGGUUUUAUCGGUUUCUGAUUUUUUUUUUGUCUUAUUUGAGUUCAUAAUUUAAAAAAAUUGAAGCAAUAUGAUUUUUGUGGUUAAAUUGGUUGAAUGACUUUGAAAAAACAGUGACUAAACACGACGAUUAAAUUUCUUUAAUAAUGUGAUAUGGUAAAGAGAUUAGUGACGUGAAAUUUUGUUUUCUUAAAUAGAAAAUUGGACUUUUAUUUUUUGAUUUAUUGUUUUUUCGUAAAAAUCCUAAUGCACAAAUAUGAAAUUCCACUACUCACACACAUUCACAAUACAAACCAUCGCAUUCCACUGUUGAAACCCCAAUUCUCUAUGUAAAAAAUAGUUUUUGUAGGAACAUGAAGAACUUCGAAGGAAAAACAAUAAACCAAGAUGAAUGUCUAAUUUUCCAUUUAAAAAAGAAGAAUCCAUGUUGUUGACCUCUUUGCCAUCCCAUGUCGUUUAAAAUAUUGGAAGAGUGAAAUAGACUCAAUUAGGAAUCAUAAAUAGAUCUUAUUUUGGGAUGAUAAGGCAAGUUUGUGGCCAUUCUCCAAUGUUCAUUACUGUCGAUUUUUGUCUGUUGUUCAAAGUUUAAGUUGAUUAGUUUUUAGUUUUUUGUGUGUCUAAACUUCUCAGAUGUGAUCAAACGAAUGCAAGAUUGUCUUCUAGUCCAGUUGGAUUGUGUCAAUUCCUUGUUUGCUUGUCUUAUAGAUCUCCAAUGUCUCUCUUUUGUCCACCAUAAUCGCUCAAAUGUACUUGCAAAAGGUAUUUUCAUGCUAAAGUCAAUAAAUGACUAACUGGUUUGCAAUUAAUGCAGUGAUGCAUGUUAUGUCCAUGUAUAUUAAAGUUAUACUUUAAACUUUUAUUUAUGAUAGUUGUUAUGAACUUUUACUUUAUUGUUGGUCUAAUCAUAACCCAACCAUAUAUUAAUUAGUAUUAAGAGGUUCAUUCUUCAUUGUCAUUAUUAAUUUGACCAGAAAGUGAUCGACUAUAUUGUUCGGUCAUGAAAAUUAAUCACAGGAUGAUAUCCAAGAAAUUGAUUCCAAGUGAUCUAAACCAAGAGUUAUCUAAGAAUAAAUAGUUUAAAAAAACUAAAUAAAAAGAAUCAUCCAUAUCAGAAGUAAACCUUUAAGUUGAUGGUUGACUUCCGAUCAAAUAAACAUAUAAUACAAAUCUUAAUCACUAUUUAUAUUGAUUUAAACAUUUAAAAAAAUACUUGAUUUUAAUUUUUGAAAUUAUAUAUAUAUAUAUAUAUAUAUAUAUAUAUAUAUAUAUAUAUAUAUAUAUUAUUUAGCCUAACUUGGGGAAAGGAUUUGCCCACCAUACUAGAAAAAGAAAUUCGCAACUACCGUUUGAAAACGACAUUUUUGUUUAAUCUAGGAAUAAUUUAUGUAUUAAGUUCUUCAGAGUCAUUCUACUUUUACAAUUAUUACAUUUGAAAUUUAAUAAAAGUUCGAGGACGUUUAAGAAAAUUAAGGAUUUAUUUAAAUCAUUUUUAGUUUUGAUUUAUGUGAGACUAUUAAGGGUGUAACUGAUAAAAUUAAUUUUAAUUCAAAAAUUUAAUAUCAAUUUUUUUAGUUUUCUUUUUCAAAAGUAGAUAUCCUAAUGAUCAUACUUUUCGUUGUUAAACAAAUAUAUGUGUCAAUUACCUGUAUAGACACAUUGUUUUUAUCUAUCUGUUUAUUCAUAUACAACUAAAACUAGUAACUUAACUAUUUUUUUUUAAACGCUCUCUUAACUUACUUCCAUUAUAAAUUACAAUAUAUAAUAUAUAUUUCAGAAAUAUUCUUCCUCUUUUAACUUUUCUUCAAAUAUUCUCAAUACUUUCUUUGUCUUUCCUUCAAAUAUACAUUAAAAAACUGAUUUUAAUCUUGUCAAAAUAUUACUUUUCUUUUUUUUAUCUAUACUAAUAUAUUUAAAUUUCCGGAAAACAUUUUAUAUGUGUAUGUGUAUAUUUCUUUUUUAUUAUCACAUCAAAUAACAAUGUGAUCUAUAAAUACCCGAAACUCAUAUAUCUUAUUUCUCAUUAUCAAACUAAACUAUUAAGCAAUGUUGCUUGAAGCUCUAGCUAUCCUCUUCAUCACAUUCUCAUUCAUUGUUUUUGUGUUCCAAAACAAACAUGAUGGGAGAAGUGCACCAGGUCCCAAACCCUUGCCAAUUAUCGGUAACCUUCAUAUGCUAGGAAAACUCCCACAUCGAACCCUUCAAUCUCUUGCUACAAAAUAUGGUCCCAUAAUGUCCUUAAAGCUAGGGCAGCUCCCAACCAUAGUUGUUUCUUCCCCACAAACUGCAGAACUGUUCCUCAAAACCCAUGACAUUGUUUUUGCCAGCAGACCCAAAAGCCAAGCCACAGAAUAUCUUUCUUAUGGCAGCAAAGGUUUGGCCUUUUCCGAGUACGGUGCAUACUGGCGCAACGCCAGGAAAGUGUGCACUCUGCAGCUUCUGAGUGCCUCAAAGGUUGAGAUGUUUGCUCCUCUGAGGAAAGAAGAAUUGGGAGUGUUGGUGAAGACGCUAAAAAGUUCUGCAGCAUCUGGUGAGGUUGUGGAUCUGAGUGAGUUGCUGGGAGAGCUUAUGGAGAACAUCGUAUUCAAAAUGGUGUUGGGGAGUGCCAAAGAUGAUAGAUUUGACUUAAAAUUGCUAGUUCACGAAG
rnacentral:lncRNA from 1 species